rnacentral:misc_RNA from 1 species
AAGCUUUAAACAUCACAUUUACAAGAAAUUCUUAGGUUCAACUAAGAUCACUAACCAUUUAAGGCUUCUAAACUUUAAACAUAACAAAAAUCAUGAACAAAACCUCAAAACUUGACAAAUUUCAAAACAAAACAUACAAUUCAUCAAAACCCUAAUAUGCAAGAACUCUUCUAAUCUUCACACAAUGAAAACUAACUCAAACUCUUCAACCCAAAUAUGCAAUUAGAGCCAAACAAUCUAACAUUCAUAAACAUGCUUGGAUCCUUCUAAAAGAUCAAAAGAAAAGAAGAAUUAUCUUUUUUUUCCUUUGAGCUUGAGAAAAGGGAGAAGUCAUGAUCCAAGAUUCAAAUUACUCUCUCUAAACUUCCCAAAAGAAGAAUCAAGCAAGAAAUCUUGGAAUUCUUCUUCAAAUGCCCCUUUUGCAUGCUACAACAACUCAGAAAAAGAAAAG